UGCUUGGGGAACUGCCCAGUCGAGGGGGACAACUAUUGGAAACGAUAGCUAAUACCGCAUACGCCCUACGGGGGAAAGGAGGGGACCUUCGGGCCUUUCGCGAUUGGAUGCACCCAAGUGGGAUUAGCUAGUUGGUGAGGUAAUGGCUCACCAAGGCGACGAUCCCUAGCUGGUUUGAGAGGAUGAUCAGCCACACUGGAACUGAGACACGGUCCGACGACUCCUACCGGGAGGGCAGCAGUGGGGAAGUACUGCACAAUAGGGCGGAAAGACCUCGAUGCAGCCACUGCCGCCGUGUAU
rnacentral:rRNA from 1 species